UGAACUGGGUUAACAAUUUCCUGUGUUUGUUUUCCUUCUGCAUAUUUUAUAAUCCUGUAUGCCAUAACUAAGCUUGUAUUUCAGUUUGCCUACCAAGAUAAUAACAGACCUGAUACAUAGCCUUCUGGUUGAAUGUCAAUCAGAAUGUCUUGACAUUCAUCAUUGACAACAUAUACUGAAUAAUAGGCAGGUUGGUUUUUA
rnacentral:lncRNA from 1 species